rnacentral:tRNA from 1 species
GGCCACGGGCUGCGCUGCCGGCAGCAAGGUUCGCUUCUGCCGGACCGGCGCGGAAACUGCAACCUGCGGUUGCGGUUCCGUCAGCACGCGGCUC